UCAAAAGCUGUCAAAUAAAAUGGUGAAUUGAUUUUAUAUUAACCAGAAAAGAUAUAAACGUAAUCUUUGGGAUUCAACUUGUAAGGAUGUUCGAAGAACCACUUAGUUGGACAAGGAAAACUGUGCCGUUCGUUAACAAGUCCACUGCUUUAUAAUAUAUGAAAAGAUGGUGAGGGCGUGAAGAAAACAGGUUUUUAAAUGAUGUUGUACAUUAUGCAGAUAGCUCAAAAAAAGAAGUAAGUUUUUUAUUGCAAAAGUAAAUAUAUAAUAUAAUAUUUGUUGCUGCCUUGUUCUAUAUGAAUAUUUCUAACAUGCAGGUAACAUUUAUAUAUGUAUUAGUUUGGAUAAAUCAUUUUAAUUAAGUUACAUAGGCAGGAAUGUUUGACUGGAAAUAUAAACGAUGUUGUACAUAAUGCAAAUAGCUUAGGCGAAAAAGAGAUUGGUGAAAUGGAGAAUGAGACUAACUACGGUCAAAAAAAUAAUGAAUAUCAAAAUGUGAAUGGUACUUUGUUUAACAUCUACCUGUUUCUAUAGAUACAGUACAGACGCAUUUAUAAAUGGGCUUGAUGUUUUCAUCAUUAAAAUUUGAUGUUAUUAUAAAAGUUAUAUAUACUAUUUUUAUCAAAUAGUUAAUAUAAAA